GCGCUCGUAGCUCAGCUGGAUAGAGUACCUGGCUACGAACCAGGCGGUCAGAGGUUCGAAUCCUCUCGAGCGCG
rfam:Aeromonas schubertii strain ATCC 43700 Scaffold5, whole genome shotgun sequence.